rnacentral:rRNA from 3 species
UGGGGAAUAUUGCACAAUGGAGGGAACUCUGAUGCAGCAACGCCGCGUGAGUGAAGAAGGUUUUCGGAUCGUAAAACUCUGUCAUUGGGGAAGAAUAAAUGACGGUACCCAAUGAGGAAGCCCCGGCUAACUACGUGCCAGCAGCCGCGGUAAUACGUAGGGGGCGAGCGUUGUCCGGAAUUACUGGGCGUAAAGGGUACGUAGGCGGCUAUAUAAGUCAGGUGUGAAAUACCAGUGCUUAACACUGGAAUUGCAUUUGAAACUGUGUAGCUUGAGUGCAGGAGAGGAAAGUGGAAUUCCUAGUGUAGCGGUGAAAUGCGUAGAGAUUAGGAGGAACACCAGUGGCGAAGGCGACUUUCUGGACUGUAACUGACGCUGAGGUACGAAAGCGUGGGUAGCGAACAGG